rnacentral:tRNA from 1 species
GACUUUUUAACUAUAUAAGUAUAUAUUUUGAAAAUAUAAAAAAGAGAAAUUAUCUAUUAGUCU